rnacentral:rRNA from 1 species
GAUGAACGCUGGCGGCGUGCCUAAUACAUGCAAGUCGAGCGAACAGACGAGGAGCUUGCUCCUCUGACGUUAGCGGCGGUCGGGUGAGUAACACGUGGAUAACCUACCUAUAAGACUGGGAUAACUUCGGGAAACCGGAGCUAAUACCGGAUAAUAUAUUGAACCGCAUGGUUCAAUAGUGAAAGACGGUUUUGCUGUCACUUAUAGAUGGAUCCGCGCCGCAUUAGCUAGUUGGUAAGGUAACGGCUUACCAAGGCAACGAUGCGUAGCCGACCUGAGAGGGUGAUCGGCCACACUGGAACUGAGACACGGUCCAGACUCCUACGGGAGGCAGCAGUAGGGAAUCUUCCGCAAUGGGCGAAAGCCUGACGGAGCAACGCCGCGUGAGUGAUGAAGGUCUUCGGAUCGUAAAACUCUGUUAUUAGGGAAGAACAAAUGUGUAAGUAACUAUGCACGUCUUGACGGUACCUAAUCAGAAAGCCACGGCGAACUACGU